AUUAAUGUGAAUUUACCUUUAAAGGUCAGGAUGCUCAUUGCUACCAACUGACCAUUACAAUGCCUCUCUGGGCAGUUGCCCUUUGCCAGGUUAACCUGUACACCUCUGAUUUGUACCUGAAAUAUACUGAAUGCCUAAAGUAUUGCAGUAAGUAGUUAUUCCUUUUAUUGGACUAACAAUACAGAUAGAAAAACACGCUUUUAUACAUUUCCUGUCUUUCUCAGGACAGAAGCAAAACUGUUUCUUUUAUCAAGAUUUACGUAUAACUGAAGACGACAGAAACCCCUUGAAAGGUUCUC